UCUGCUCACUACGGUAAGUUGCUCUGGAUAAGAGCAUCUGCUAAAUGACUCAAA
rfam:Salmo salar isolate Sally breed double haploid chromosome ssa19, whole genome shotgun sequence.